CCGACUCUCCGUCUCUCGUCUGAGUUUUCUCGUCUUAGUUUUCCUUUUUACUUUCCCUCUCUCCGACUCUCCGUCUCUCGUCUGAGUUUUCUCGUCUUAGUUUUCCUUUUUACUUUCCCUCUCUCCGACUCUCCGUCUCUCGUCUUAGUUUUCCUUUUUACUUUCCCUCUCUCUGACUCUUCGUCUCUCGUCUGUCAUCUCGAAACUUCUCCUUCUCUUCUCCAUCUGAAACUUGUUCCCCCAUUGCAACCCUAACCUUUACCCAUCCGUGGGCCACUUCAGGCUUCAGCCUUCAAGGUCAGCCGGCACCGGCAGCUCCACUUCAGCCUUCUCCCUUCAGCUUUCAGCCCAAGGUUCAUACAUGUGCUCUCCGCUUCAGACUUCUCCCUUUGCUUUCAGCCCAAGUUCCUCUUGCAGACGCCUCUCCCUCUCGGUCUCCUUAGAAAACCCUUCAAUGCCUUCAUCCUUCAACUGGUUUCAGGCCGCCAACCGCUUUGAUAUCCCCUUGUUGACGAGGACUGUCGGCAUCGGGUUCUGCCAUUCUGGUGACCCUGGUAAAACACCAGCAGCUCUCUAUGUCUCUUGUCGUAGUUUCAGGUGAGCGCCACAGCCUUCAACCGAUCUCCCCUUGUUGUUGAGGACCGUCUGCAUCGGGUCACGCUAUUCCAGUGACCCUAGUAGAACACUGGCAGCUCUCUCGUCAUAGCCAGGAUUUCAGAGGAAAGCAUUUGAGAUUCUGAAACUACUGAAUGGAGAUUAAGAACCCUUCAUCCUUUCAACUGGUUUGAGCCAACAGUGCCAUAGUUUAUCCAAGGGCCAACAGAAGUUGCUAUCUCAUAAAAGUCAGCAAAGUGAACCUGUCACAAAACAUUUGUUCACAUAUUUAUACAUACUUCUGAACAAGCUAAUUAUGUAGAAGUCCCAUUCAUUUGGAAUGAAUUUGAUGGAACUGGCCCGCCUUCCCACUUGCACCAACUAUUUGGACAAGUCCAUUCUGAUGUGAUGUUCCUAUUUGUCAAUAGGUCCUUCAUCUUGUUUUGCUGGACUAGUUUUCUGCACUAUCAUUUGAUUUGUUUAUGAUACAUCAUUUCUCUUUUGGCAGUUUAUUUUCAGGGCAGAAGUGAAUUCAUUUUGCUUAUCUAAAGUAUCUAUUGAUGUAUAUGUAUUUGUCUAUAAUGACUAUGGGCCUGUAGUAGCGCAUCAUGGAUUGAGUUUGAUUGAGAACUAGCCUGUCUGAGAUCUAAUAAGGUUUGUCCUUGUUGACAAAGAAGGAGCUCAUUAAGAAUUCCUGUGUGGUUUAAAGAAGAUUUAUACUACUGUGAAAUGGUUGUCAUUUGACUGUUUAUACUUUAGAAAUGUGAGAGGAAUUCACCAGUCAUGAUUUCCUUGUUUUGUUUAUAAUGUUGUUACUGUUGGCAGCUACGGUGAAUAAGGUCUACUGCGAAUAAAUAGUUGAUUUAUAUGUCUUUGUAAGUGUUGGGAGGCUGGAAUGUGAAUUGUCAUGCAUGUGAUUGAGAAUGGUUAAGGUUCUCCUGUUUUUGCAGUGCCAAGAGGUGCUAAAUUCAUUAUUAAGUCCAUAAUGCUAAUUGUGUGGGAUAGAUUCCUGGUUACCAAAAUCUUGUUUCUGUUGCAAUAGAUAAGUUGUUUUUCUUUUUGUGUUUGUUGGUAAUGAGUUAAUCGAGCCUUAAUCGAGCUCGAGUUCAACAAGAAAAGAUGAGUAGCAACCGAGUUUAUCGAGCUUAAGCGAGUCGAGCUCGAGCUCCACAAGUGACAAUCGAGCCGAGUUCAAGGCACUUUAGUCGAGUUUUUUUCGAGCUCGAGCCGAGUCAAGCUCGAGGCCUUAUUUAGUCGAGCCGAGCUGGAGCUGGCUGAGUUCGGGCUCGACUCGGCUCGUGUUCAGCCCUAGCUGGAAUGUUGAUAAGUUCUUUUGAAACAUGAAAUUUUAAGGUUUGUCUAAAGUAAAAGAACUACAAGAGUUGACAAAACAGCUGGAUAUUUAUGAUAUGUCAAUUGUUCAUUAGCACGAAUACAUGGGAGUUGGACUAUGUGAAAAAGGGGCUUCUUUGCGAGGUGCUAUAACCUUAUUUUCUUGUUUUUUCACUUCAAUCAUGAGAAGUUCAUUGUGCCUCUCAAAAUUGUUGCAUUUGUAUUCAGUUGUUUGACAAAAAUGUUGUGAGGCUAAAUUUUGGUGGUACUUUUCGUCAUAACGUCAAUAUCUUGUUUGUCAGUGAUCCUAACUUCUACAAUAUAUUUACAAAAUAUCACAUUCUUAUAGUACUAGUGCAAGAGGUAUCUUUGUUGUCGACUUAAUUAUUAAACUACCAAACAACAUGCUUUGCUCCAUGCAUUUCAUGUUCAUCAAUUCUAUUGCAAGCAAUGAAUAAUAUUUAGAAAUGCACAUGUGCUUAAAAGUGGAGCUCCUGUUUUAAAUGGCAUUGAUGUUAUUGCAUUGAUGAAUUUGACUCCAUGUAAAAUGUUACAUGAUAUUGUGCUUUGUCUUGUGCCCUAUGCAACUUUUUUUUCUUAAAAAAUGUUCAUGCCCAAAAACUAGGUUAGAUGCGUAGAAGUAUGAUGUUUACCCUCUGAUAUCAUAUUCAUAACGUCCCUCCAAGCAAUGGAACAACAAACUAUUUCAAAUGCAAAGGUUGGUAAAAUUCACUUAAUGGUAGGACUUCUACUAAUCCUAGUGACUCACACUAUAAUUGACAUUUAUCAAUGAUUGAUGACAUUCAUUUGCCUCCUACUUCUCUUUCCAGAUAAAACUUCAUAUUUGAAUCAUCACUUUCGAAGUCAUGAGUUGGAAAAGUUCAUGUUCAUUUGACAUCUAUUCAGACUUUAUGUCAUUACUUAUUCAUGCAUUUACUAUAUCAAAAUGAUUUUUGGGUCUUUUUUUCGUUAUAUUUCAAGGAUUAAUUUUUACUAUGCAAUUUUCCCUUUUCGGUUCUUAAUCAUACUACCACCAUGCUAUUCUUAUGUUGAGCAUGUAUUCUGCUAUUGAGGUGGCAGUCAACACUUCUUUUACAAGACCUUUCUCCUCUUCCCUCUGAAUUAUGGUGCAACAUAACUUAGAACUCCCUAGAAAAUGAAAAAUUGAACUUUUUUUAUUUAGAGACGACAUCUCCUUCUCUAACUAGUUAAAACCACUACCAACUUGAAAAUUUCUUCUCAUGCUUCCAGUCAUGUUCGUUAUCUAGUGCUACUAAAAUAGACUGAAACUCAACCAUUGAAAUAUGAGUCUCACCAUUUUCACUUUUCUGGAAUUGUUUGCUAUGCUAUAACUGAAUGAGUUGGGCACCAAUUAUAAAGUAUUUUAGAAAUUCUUUCUUGGUGUAAAUAUAGAAGAUAAUUAGAAGUAAAAGUAGCUACUAUGACAAGUUUAUAGAAGCACAUACAUCAAAUGUUAUAAUGUAGAAGCUUCUUAGAGUGUCCGACAUUAGAAUAGCUGGCAUUAAAAUGUCAAGUAUUUAUAUCAUGCUUUGGUGGGGUGGAACAAAAGUUUUAGAUUCACAUUGCAUAGGUAAUUGAAGGACUGCAAAUUUUGUUUGAGACAUUUUCAUAGCUUGUUUGAAAGAGAUGCCAUUAAAAUUCCAUGACUUUGUACUUGGCUGUUGGCUGAACCACCAACCCAUUUUUGCAAGCAGUUUUAUCAUGACCUCUUGCUAAUACUCUUUUUUAUAAUGACUAGUAGUAGGUGGAGCAAGACAAGUAAGGCCUUUGAAUUAAAUGGAAUGCAAACAACUAAAGUACUCAAAGAACAUAUACAUAUUCAUUUAUUUAUAUGUGCAUAUUUGAUAGACUUUCAUGAUAUUGAGAAAAAAAAAUAUGGGUACAAUUAUUAUAUGAAACCAUAAUUUUUUUUUUUUUGCAAACUAGAAACUUUCAAAAAAAAAAAGAUUUAGGUUUCUUUAUGUGUAUAUCACAUAUAAAUUGUGGUUACAAUUAUAAUAUGGAAAACAUUAGUUUUUAAUGAAAUAGAAACUUUUUUUUUUUUUUCAAUCGAGCUCCUCCUAAUUCAUUUUGUGUCUCUGUGUGUCAGCCUCUUUUCACAUUGGACAAAAAAUUGUAGUAUCAUUAUAAUAUGAUAAACAUUAUUCUUUCAAUGUAAACCUACGGUAGGAUAUGUCCUCAACCAAUUAUAUUAUCACAAAAUAUGAUAUUUGCAGCAAAAAGUAGAAAUCCUAAGAGGACCGGAUGCAAAACAAUGGCAAAACAAUUCAUGAUAUCAUUGUAUGCAUUAUACAUUGAGAUUCUUCUUUGAAAAGGAUGAACCAAAAUUGAGAUUAAUUAAUUACCAGCUAGUGGUGUGCAACAAGCAGUGAUGAGUUUGAUUGGUAAUUAUAUAGUAGGGACAAGGCUUGUGCCUUGGAUGAACCUGUUUGUCCACUUCUUCUAGCUGGACCAAUAUGUCAUCUAUAACACAUAUUUUUCCAUUAAGUGCUGCUGAUAGAUUGAACUUAUUUGUUCAAAACCUAAUUCUCAGAAAAAGUGAAACUGAUACCUAUCCCAUACAAGAUUCCAAAAUUAUAGUCCCUUUUAUUUUAGAUUUCACAAAUCUAGAAGUGUUGGUAGGUUUGAUUUUUUUUUUUUAAAAUCCAGUGCAAUAUGUAUAUUUAGUUUGUGUUUUGAAUCGAUAGUCCCUUGAUUGGAUUCUUAUUUAUUAACCAAAUAAACCCUUAGCUUUCUCUCAUAUUCUUAAUUUGCAGCAAAACUAUGGCACUUCUAUUUCAUAGAGGAAUUCUGAAAUGAUUUAGAGUCUUACCUUUAGCCCAUAAUCUCAAAAGGAUAAAUUCAGUUUUCACUAUGCCAAAUUCAACUUGUGCUGAUGGUGGAUAGGAUGUUGGUAGAUAGGCAGGGGAGUUGUGGAAGGUGAGAGCCAUCAGUGAAAACACCCACAUAGCUUGAUUCCCUCAUUAGCACCCAAAUCAAGAUCAAGAACAUGAACAAACUCAAUGCUCACUUUACAUCGUUUGUGCAUGAGAGCAUUUGCAGCUCAUAUGCCAUGAAUGUCAAUGGCUGCGAAGGCCGUACCUGCCUCACCAAGAUCGACUCACGGCCAAGCAUGAUGGCAUGUAUGAUUGAAUCCCCCAUCCCAGCUUCAUCACCUCUUGUCUAGCUGUUGGUGGAAUCGGGAGCUCUAUAUCAACCAUGUCGAUCGAACAUGUUAUGCCCCAUCUGAAGCCAUUUUCUUCUUCUUUCCCCUCAUUUAUCCUCCCCAUGUCAAUCUCUAGCUUGUUUUGUCACUUUCCUCCUAGUUUUAUGACUUCUAUUUGUUCUUUUUUUUGUACUGUUAUCAUCUACCUCCUAUUGUCAAGGAAGUUAUUGGGAUUAAAGUUUGGGAAAUGUGAAACUAUGGUUUGUUUAUGUUCUGUCCCUUUCUUGUUUCUUUAGUUUGCUAGUCUAAGAUUGGACAUGCGUUAAGUCCAUUAUAUGCAAGGGUUAUUAGUAUCAUGUGGAGAAGGGAUGAAUUCAUCGUUAUGCUUUGUUGAUUUGGUGAAUUUGUUUGAUUUUAGGGGUCUUAGUUGGAAUAGUUGUGUAUAAUAAGCUAGCAUGCAGUUAUAGUUUAGUGGAGUAAUGUGCUAGCAGUUACAAUUUAGCGGACUAGUGUUAUAGCAGGCAACAUGUGUGGUGGCGAAAUUAUAUGAAGUGAAACAACAAGUAGAGCAGCUAAACUGCUCAAGUUUAAAAAUGUUGUCAUAUGUCAUUUGCCUUUCUUAUUCAUUGGAACAAUUAUGAACACAUGUCAUUUUGUGUUUUGAUUCAUUUAGCAGUUGCAAUUGAUUUCACUUAAAAUAAAAUAGCUUAGUGGCUCUCUCUUUUUGAGAACUUUUGAUACCACCAUUUUUUACAAUGUGUCUCUAACUUUUAUGGUAUAAUAACGCAUGAUUUGAGUAGUCAAGUAGACCAUGGCAAUGACCAACAGAAAUCCUCAAUGGACACUAUGGACCAUUUAGUUUCAGUAAACUUAAAUAGAGAAAAUUAUUUACUAUGGAUAUCACAAGCCGAGUCUAUAAUGAUGAGUCAAGAUCUACUCAAUUAUCUUAAUGGUUCUUCAAGGCCUCCAAGCAAGAAGGUUUCUAGGAAUGAGAAAGGUUUAGAUGAUCUUGAUUCAGAACUUGUGUUGUGCUCCAGGAUAGUCAAAUCUGUGGUUCAACUUCAGCAACUGAGAAGAAAAGCGGUACUAUAUCCUAUUAAGAUACGUGGAGUUGCUAUGAUGAGAGACUAUAGACCAAGAAAGGUGUUGUUGGAUCUUUGGCAUUAAAGGCUGGGUCAUGCCAUUAGGGGUGUUGUUAAUCUCUUAAAUAAAGAAAUCUCAUUUAAUGGAGAUUCAUAAUUAGAUGUGAGACAAAAUUUCUUGAUAGGCCAGGCACAUAAGCUGUCGUUUUCUAUAAGUAAGUCACAUGAAAUAAAACAUUUAGAAAUUUUACUUGCAGAUAUAUUGGUUCUUUCUCCUGUGACUUUAAGAGAAACAUUUAGUUAUAUUUUAUCCAAAUUUGAUCCGCACACAGGGGCUACUUGUGCUUUGAUCCAUUUAAGAAUAUAGUUUCUCGAUGCAUCUAUUUUGAUGUAAGAUCAAUAUUCAAUUUAAUCAAGGAUUUAGCGAUUAGCAACCCAAAGGCAUGGGGACUCGAAUUACCAGAUUCAAUAGAAAUUGGCACUCUAGCUUAGUCUAUUUCAGAUCCUUAACACCGAAAACAUAGAUUCACCAACCUAGAGGAGAUGUCAAUUGAACCUAUCCCAAACCCAUUCCCACUAGUUGAUCCUAUAUUCAACCCAAUUGCACAUGUUGACCUCUCACAAAAUCAAUCAGCAUCCAUCUUGUUAGACAAGACAUCGCCUCGACCUAAAAUUCAAUCACCUAACCCACCUUGAAGUUUGUUUACGUAACCGUUAUCCAAUCAACAUUGAAACACCACCCAUAGUCACCAAAUGGUAACACGGUCAAUGACCAGUUCCCUCAAGUUGAAGGCCUUAAGAAAUAUAGAAGACUGUAAGUCAAGUGAAGGCUUUAUAAAAUGUUGGGAGAUAAUGCAAUCUAAUGGGGGUCCAAGAAACAUAAAACGGUGGCCAGCUCCAGUACAGAGGCCGAAUGCAAGUCUCUUGCAUGUGCAAUAGCUGCAUUGCUAUGGUUACAAGCAAUGUCACAAAAACCAUGUUCUUCCCAAAAAAAAAUGUGAAAAAAAGCUAUAAAUAAAAUUGUCGUAUUAAACUUGGAAAAUGUAUUUUGUGGAAAAAACAUUAAAAAAUGCAAAAAAAAGUGUUUUUAUGUUUUUUUUUUCAUUUUUCUUGUUUUUUAGUGCCAAACCGUUUUUUUCAUUUUCUAUGUUGUUCUUGCAAAUUUACUUAUUUUUUUUAUGUUUGUGUUACUAGUUUCUCUCUUAUUUUACUUUUUCUUCAUUUUUAGUUUUUUUAAAUUUAAAAAAUUCACCAUAUUUUUUUCAUAUUUUCUCAUUUUUUUCAUGAUCUCCAUAUUAUGCUCAAGAAAAACCUCGUUGUUUAAAACUCUGAAACAUUAUUUGUGACUAUGAUUAUAAGUAGUACUUAAUGAAUUAAGGUUUUCAUCUAAUACUUCCACUCUCUGGUGCAACAACAUAUGAACAUUAUAUCCGGUGGCAAAUCUAGUUUUCCAUGCCCAAACUAAACAUGUGCAAAUUGAUUUCUACUUUAUUGGCCAUCAUGUUGAAAAGGGCAAUAUUUAGAUUGAGUUCAUUUGGUUCCCAGAACAAAUAGUAGAAGGGUUCACGAAACUGCUUAGUGCCGGAUUGUUUGAAACCUUCGAAUCUAAUCUUUCCAUUGGUGAACUGAUGCUCAGAUUCAGGGCAAUGACAAGCUAGCAGUUAUGGUUCAAUUGAGUAAUGUGCUAGUAGUUACAAUUUAGUGGAGUAGUGCUACAAUAGUUAAUAUAUGUGGUGGAGCAAUUAUAGAAGUGGAGCAGCUAAAGUUGCCAAGUUUAAAAUUGUCGCUAUUUGUCACUUGUCUUUCUUAUUAAUUGUAAUAGUUAUGGACAAUGUUGUUAAGUGCGUUGAUGCGAAGCGAUGCAUUGAGCCUGUGAGGCAGGCGAUGCGCAAUAUAGCAAGGUGACGCGUAAGCAUCAUGUUUAAAGUUUUGAAAUAUAUAAUAUGUUUAAAAAUGUAAAACAAGAAAAGGUGACGCGUAAGCAUCAUGUUUAAAGUUUUGAAAUAUAUAAUAUGUUUAAAAAUGUAAAACAAUAAAAUAAGAUGUAGAAAUGAUUUUGAAAAUUAUUUUUUGUGAACGGCUUAUAUAUAUUAUUCUAUAAUUAAUUGAAGCUAACUACAGAUGUAUGGUCAUCAACUUGAAAACAUAAGACAAAGGCAAAAAACAUGUCCCAUUACAGUACAAUAAGAUUUCAUGAAAAUUCUAAAACCAAAGGUUGACUUUUUUUUUUUUUCGUUUGUUAGCUCCUAUACGCGCACGAAAGAAAAAAAAAUCUUGACUUUCAAUUCAUGAAACUUGUGCAAUGACAAAUAAAAGGGUUUAACAUGUAAAAUUUAGAAGUGAAUACCUAAUAAUGGGUGAAAUCAAGUUGACAAGUUUGGUUCCAUAAAAUAAAUUUCAUGUCACAUAAUAUCAAAUCUAGAUGUUGAAUAGAACAUAGAUGGACCAAAAAACGUGUGAUAUCUUGGAAAAAUAGUAAGAAUGACUGCUGGCCAAUUUGUUAUUAUUGUCGACAGGCAUCAACCAUUCAACGGAAUGAGUGAAAGAUAGGAGAGAUUGAACAUUCACAGAAGGUUAUGCAAUAGCCGUUAAGAGAGCUCGCCGAAGAGCAAGCAUACGUUGAAUAGCUCUCAGAAGUCACCUGAUACACAUGCAGCACGCACUAGAUACGCGUCGUCUUCAUGCAUGUGGCAUGCGCAUGAGGCCCACUACGCCUCAACAUAUCUUUUUGAGGUGUUUCUUUAAUUGAUGUGUUGUGAUGUGUGCGCAUCAUGCCUUGAUGCGCACACAGUUAACAACAUUGGUUAUGGGCACAUGUCAUUUUCUGUUUUCAUUCAUUUAACAGUUUGAAAGUGAUUUCACUUAAGAUACAAAGGUUUGUGGCUCUCUUUUUUUAUGUUUUUUUGAUACCACCAUUUUUCACUACAUGUCUUAAACUUUUAAUGUGCUUAACGAAUGAUGUACCAUUGGAUGCUUUGGGAGGGAUCAAGGUAGUGCUUUUCAUGUUUUUUUGUUGACCUUCUGUGCUAUUUCACGUUAGAUUCACAUUAGUGUAUGCUGACAUUUCGAGAAUGUUAGCUGAUGCAGCGUGAUACAUGUUGAGGAGCUUCUAACGUUAUCUGCAUCUUCAUUUUUUGUCGUUGUUACUUGAAAACAUAACCAGUUAUUGUUCGCACUCAAUGUUCAAUCGCAUCUUUCCCUCUAGGACGAAAACAAUGCACUUGAGGAGCUUUUGGAAUCUGACUUGUUGGAUCUGAUUGGACUGGGGAAGAGGUAAGUUGGAUAUUAUUUUGGUUGUUUGUUUUGUUCAGGUUGAUUGCCUGCAAGUAAAAUAAUAAAUUUCUGGCCAUGCGGAUGAUCAUAACAAGUGACAGAUGGUAUGGUUCUCUUAGGACUCUUGGAGAGAAAAAGUAGGCUUCCAAUGAGGUUAGUUGUUUAAAUAUUUGCAGCAUUUAGAUGCUUUAAUUAAUAUACAGGAACAAUUAUCAAUAUUUGUUCACACAUUUGCAGUUUUUGUGCUGGUUUGAUCAAACCUUGUUAAUUUUUCGGAUGAUCUAAGUAAAGGAUGGAAUCAUGAUUGAGUUUCACUUGAUGAAAAUGACAAGCUUGUGAUAUGAGUGAACAAGAAGGCGGAUCCUUUUCUGGAACAGUGUACAAAGUAGAAAUAUGAUUUUAAUUCUCUUAAGUAUAAGAGGUUUCUACAUUUAUCAUCUUUUUGUGAACUCGUUUGGCUAUUUGAAUGAUUAUCGAGCAGACUGUGGAUGCAUUUUCCAAUUUUAUGAACAAAAGUGGUUGGCUGAGUGUAGAAGUUCAAGUGACUACUUUGGAGGCUAGAAAUUCUUGGCAUGUCGUGUUCUUGCUGGGACGCUUGAUGUUGUCAUGGUAUUAUUUUUUAUAUUCCCAAAUUGCAACAUUGUCUUUUUUUUUUUCUGUUUUUUCCUCAUCAUCUGCACGACAGGAUUCAUGCAUAUCGAUUGUGGUCGGCUUUAUGGCAUUUGGAAGAAGGUUGAUUCCUAAUUUUCACUGUUCCAAGCAUCAAGGCAUUAUGGAGCUCUUGAUUUGCAGUUCCCUACGAGCUCCAAAUGAGAAAAAGACGAUGCCUGUAAGAUUCCAUUAGAUCAGGAGACCCUUAUGUCAGUAUGACUUAGGUUCCUUUGCCAAAGCCGUAUUCAAUUUGAACCUAGCAUAAAAAAAUUGUAACACCAUAAUCACUAGACUUUCAAAUUUUGGGAUUUUUGAAUCAUAAAUUGUUGUUCAACAAUGUUUUCUCUAUCUGUUUGUGUGAGAUGUUCAAUUUGCUGUGGGUUGCAAUAUUCCUUUUGAUGGGCGGUUGAAAUCCACCGAAGGAGGGAAAAUUGGUACGGGCGGGUGAAAUUUCACCCGUCCGAUUGAAAUCCCGUCAAACAGGGUAGAAUUCCACCCAUUUAACCCAAAAGGGAGCGGGUGGAAUUCCACCCGCUCGAAAGUCCGAGCUCGGAGCUCGGACUUUUGAGUGGGUGAAAUUUCACCCGCUCGUUGUUUCGGGCGCUCGACCUCCCUCCUCAGCGCACGACUUCCUUCGGCAGCUCACAUCGCACUGCAGCUCCUCCUCCCUCGAGCCUUCUCACAUUGCACCAGAGUGGAAGGAGGUCGCACCGUCGCCGCUGCCUCUCCGCUCCACCGCCGCCAUCGCCGUGGUUCUUCAAAUUAGGGCUUCAAAGACUCAUCCUUUGAUUCUCUGCCUUCCUCUUCCACCGCUCGCCCCAUCUCUCGCCGUGCACCACCGCUGCCGCUCUGCUUUGGAUGAUAGUCACAGCUUGCAGGGAACUUGAGUUCCUCGAUGUGAGAGGCUGUUGGGAUGUGAAAUUGGACGGGGAGGAGUGGCUGGCCAAGAGACAACUGGAGAAGGGCUUGAAGGUUUUGGGUCCAGAGGUGGUCGAUCCCUAUGAACUCCUGGUUUGGAAGAUUAAACGUGAGUUUCUAUUGAAGAAAAAGGUUCAACAAUUAAUCCAGAUUAUCAGAUGUGCAUAUAUAUUUAGAAGCAGAGGGAGAAGGAAUGGUCUGCCGGAGCUUUUGGCAUUAUUAAUCGGUCAUGGUUCCCCGGUAGCAGUUUUACCUGUUCAGUUGGUGCUCCUAUAUGCAUCUAAGCAACUUCUUCCUUUGGUGGACAGAGGUUUAGCAUGGAGAGAUUAAUGAACAUGAUUCUCUUAUAUCUUGUUCUUAACAUGAUUCUCUUAUAUCAUGUUCUUACAUUUUUGACAAUGGCUGCAUUCGAAUCAUUCUUUAUUGUUUUCAAUCACAGUAGCAAAUGCCAAUUUCUUCAGUUCCUCCUCUUGUCUUUCUUCAAUUCUUUCCUUUGGUGGAUUUGUAAUUUGUCUUCCUGCUUUCAUUCUCACGAUAAUUACGCAAAUAAAACUAAGAGGAACAGUUGAUGUCAUGAGGAUUAAUUGGCUCUGCAUUAUAGUCGGAUCUAAACAUAAAGAGAAGUUGAAAAGCUUGUAAUUUAGUGUGAUCACCAGCAAUCUCGGGCCAAUACCUGCCGAUUUCCCAUUUUUCUUAAAGAAUAACUAAAGAAAGUUUAAGCUAAUAAAGAAAACUAAAACAUAUCUUAUGUUUUUGAAGAACUCACAUGGGCCCGUUAAGUCUUAGCAAUGGUCCGAUACAAUGCGAUGAUAAUGUACAUGGCUAUUGAGUGUACAUGCAUCGAACAUAUCACUUUUGAUUAAGCAGGAUGAGUAUUUCAUUCCAUAUAAAUGAAUGGUAAGGUUUGGUGUGGAACACACACACUCAACAUUUUGUUCUUAUUUGUUUUUGGAUGGUAGGGACUACACCCUAAACAUUUUGUUGUUUUGGAAAAUCAUCUUUCAAUUUUUUUCCAAAUCAGAUUUGGAGAGGAGAAGACAGAAAAAAAACAACAUUUACCAUCUUAAAUUCUUCCUGUGCAUCAAACAUGGUUAAAUUUACCACGUUAAAUUAUUCUUGUGCAUCAAACAGAGUUAAAUUUAUCAAGGUAAAUUUCACCCGCCCAUCAAACAGAACCUCAGAUUGGAAAAGAGAGAAAUUUCAUCCUGUGAAUUUUUCUGGAAAAAUUUAUCAUGGUAAAUUUACCGCGUUAAAUUUCACCCGCCCAUCAAACGGGCCCUUAAGUAUAAGAGGUUUCUACAUUUAUCAUCUUUUUAUGAACUCGUUUGACUAUUUGAAUGAUUAUCGAGCAGACUGUGGAUGCAUUUUCCAAUUUUAUGAACAAAAGUGGUUGGCUGAGUGUAGAAGUUCAAGUGACUACUUUGGAGGCUAGAAAUUCUUGGUAUGUCGUGUUCUUGCUGGGACGUUUGAUGUUGUCAUGGUAUUAUUUUUUAUAUUCCCAAAUUGCAACAUUGUCUUUCUUUUUUUCUGUUUUUUCCUCGUCAUCUGCACGACAGGAUUCAUGCAUAUCGAUUGUGGUCGGCUUUAUGGCAUUUGGAAAAAGGUUGAUUCCUAAUUUUCACUGUUCCAAGCAUCAAGGCAUUAUGGAGCUCUUGAUUUGCAGUUCCCUACGAGCUCCAAAUGAGAAAAAGACGAUGCCUGUAAGCUUCCAUUAGAUCAGGAGACCCUUAUGUCAGUAUGACUUAGGUUCCUUUGCCAAAGCCGUAUUCAAUUUGAACCUAGCAUAAAAAAAUUGUAACACCAUAAUCACUAGACUUUCAAAUUUUGGGAUUUUUGAAUCAUAAAUUGUUGUUCAACAAUGUUUUCUCUA